UGGGGAAUUUUGGACAAUGGGCGCAAGCCUGAUCCAGCCAUGCCGCGUGCGGGAAGAAGGCCUUCGGGUUGUAAACCGCUUUUGUCAGGGAAGAAAUCUUCUGAGUUAAUACCUCGGGAGGAUGACGGUACCUGAAGAAUAAGCACCGGCUAACUACGUGCCAGCAGCCGCGGUAAUACGUAGGGUGCAAGCGUUAAUCGGAUUACUGGGCGUAAAGCGUGCGCAGGCGGUUUUGUAAGACAGAGGUGAAAUCCCCGGGCUCAACCUGGGAACUGCCUUUGUGACUGCAAGGCUUGAGUGCGGCAAGGGAGGUGGAAUUCCGCGUGUAGCAGUGAAAUGCGUAGAUAUGCGGAGGAACACCGAUGGCGAAGGCAAUCCCCUGGGCCUGCACUGACGCUCAUGCACGAAAGCGUGGGGAGCAAACAGGAUUAGAUACCCUGGUAGUCCACGCCCUAAACGAUGUCAACUGGUUGUUGGGAAGGUUCCUUCUCAGUAACGUAGCUAACGCGUGAAGUUGA
rnacentral:rRNA from 1 species